UACAGGGGGGGCAAGCGUUGUUCGGAAUUACUGGGCGUAAAGGGCUCGUAGGUGGCCAACUAAGUCAGACGUGAAAUCCCUCAGCUUAACUGGGGAACUGCGUCUGAUACUGGAUGGCUUGAGUUUGGGAGAGGGAUGCGGAAUUCCAGGUGUAGCGGUGAAAUGCGUAGAUAUCUGGAGGAACCCCGGUGGCGAAGGCGGCAUCCUGGACCAACACUGGCGCUGAGUGAGCGAAAGCCAGGGGAGCAAACGGG
rnacentral:rRNA from 1 species